rnacentral:tRNA from 1 species
GCCUACGUAGUCCAACUGGUAGGAGACACAAAACUUAAAAUUUUGACAGUGUGGAUUCGAAUUCCACCGUAGGCACCA